CUCUACUAGGCUUUGUCU
rnacentral:miRNA from 1 species